GGCCGGUUAGCUCAGCUGGUUAGAGCGUGGUGCUAAUAACGCCAAGGUCGCGGGUUCGAGCCCCGUACGGGCCA
rnacentral:tRNA from 2 species